AUUGAACGCUGGCGGCAUGCCUUACACAUGCAAGUCGAACGGCAACAUGAUCUAGCUUGCUAGAUUGAUGGCGAGUGGCGAACGGGUGAGUAAUACAUCGGAACGUGCCCUGUAGUGGGGGAUAACUAGUCGAAAGAUUAGCUAAUACCGCAUACGACCUGAGGGUGAAAGUGGGGGACCGCAAGGCCUCAUGCUAUAGGAGCGGCCGAUGUCUGAUUAGCUAGUUGGUGAGGUAAAGGCUCACCAAGGCGACGAUCAGUAGCUGGUCUGAGAGGACGAUCAGCCACACUGGGACUGAGACACGGCCCAGACUCCUACGGGAGGCAGCAGUGGGGAAUUUUGGACAAUGGGCGAAAGCCUGAUCCAGCAAUGCCGCGUGUGUGAAGAAGGCCUUCGGGUUGUAAAGCACUUUUGUCCGGAAAGAAAUGGCUCUGGUUAAUACCUGGGGUCGAUGACGGUACCGGAAGAAUAAGGACCGGCUAACUACGUG
rnacentral:rRNA from 1 species